rnacentral:rRNA from 2 species
GCCGGUUUCCCUCGAUGAUCUUCACCGGUUGUCCCGGGUGACCGGCACGUUUACUUUGAAAAAAUUAGAGUGCUCAAAGCAGGCGCGUAGCCUGGAUAAUGGUGCAUGGAAUAAUGGAAUAGGACUUCGUUUCUAUUUUGUUGGUUUUCGGAACACGAGGUAAUGAUUAAGAGGGACAGACGGGGGCAUUCGUAUUGCGACGCUAGAGGUGAAAUUCUUGGACCGUCGCAAGACGAACUACUGCGAAAGCAUUUGCCAAGAAUGUUUUCAUUAAUCAAGAACGAAAGUUAGAGGUUCGAAGGCGAUCAGAUACCGCCCUAGUUCUAACCAUAAACGAUGCCAACCAGCGAUCCGCCUGAGUUCCUCAAAUGACUCGGCGGGCAGCUUACGGGAAACCAAAGUGUUUGGGUUCCGGGGGAAGUAUGGUUGCAAAGCUGAAACUUAAAGGAAUUGACGGAAGGGCACUACCAGAUGUGGAGCCUGCGGUUUAAUUUGACUCAACACGGGGCAACUUACCCGGCCCGGACACUGGAAGGAUUGACAGAUUAAGAGCUCUUUCUUGAUUCAGUGGGUGGUGGUGCAUGGCCGUUCGUAGUUGGUGAAGCGAUUUGUCUGGUUAAUUCCGAUAACGAGCGAGACUCUAGCCUACUAAAUAGGCGUCCCGAUCUCUUUCGUCGGGCGUUCUUCUUAGAGGGACAAGUGGCGUUUAGCCGCACGAGACAGAGCAAUAACAGGUCUGUUAUGCCCUUAGAUGUCCGGGGCCGCACGCGCGCUACACUGAAGGAAUCAGCGUGUGCUUUCCCUGUCCGGUAGGACUGGGUAACCCGUUGAACCUCCUUCGUGAUAGGGAUAGGGGCUUGCAAUUAUUCCCCUUGAACGAGGAAUACCCAGUAAGCACGAGUCAUCAGCUCGUGUUGAUUACGUCCCUGCCCUUUGUACACACCGCCCGUCGCUACUACCGAUUGAAUGAUUUAGUGAGGUCUUCGGACUGGCGCUCGGAGCGGCCGCAAGGUCGCGCCG